rnacentral:tRNA from 1 species
GCGGGCGUGGUUUAAUGGUAAAACGUGAGCUUCCCAAGCUUGAGUCGAGGGUUCGAUUCCCUCCGCCCGUA